GCCCAGCUAGCUCAGUUGGUAGAGCAUGAGACUCUUAAUCUCAGGGUUGUGUGUUCAAGCCCCACAUUGGGUG
rfam:Mesocricetus auratus contig082532, whole genome shotgun sequence.